rnacentral:lncRNA from 1 species
UUUGGUAUAAAAUAAAUAUUAAUGAUUAAGGAAUUAUGUGGUAUUUAAUUCAUUUAAAUACGAUAUUAAUCAUUGAAAAAUCAUGAUAAAUGAUAUUAAUUAUCUAAAAAUUGUUUUGACUGAUAAUAUGAUUAUCUAAGAUAUUGUUUAGUGUUUAGGCAGAGUUUAAUUGAACUUAAACUCUAUAAUUGUCUGAAUAGACCGUCGGAAUGAUAGAAUUGUGUCGGUUUCAAC